CCUACGGGCGGCUGCAGUGGGGAAUAUUGCACAAUGGGGGAAACCCUGAUGCAGCGACGCCGCGUGAGUGAAGAAGUAAUUCGUUAUGUAAAGCUCUAUCAGCCGGGAAGAAAAUGACGGUACCUGAGUAAGAAGCCCCGGCUAACUACGUGCCAGCAGCCGCGGUAAUACGUAGGGGGCAAGCGUUAUCCGGAUUUACUGGGUGGAAAGGGAGCGUAGACGGCAGUGCAAGUCUGGAGUGAAAGGCGGGGGCUCAACCCCCGGACUGCUCUGGAAACUGUACGGCUGGAGUGCAGGAGAGGUAAGUGGAAUGCCUAGUGGAGCGGUGAAAUGCGUAGAUAUUAGGAGGAACACCAGUGGCGAAGGCGGCUUACUGGACUGUAACUGACGUUGAGGCUCGAAAGCGUGGGGAGCAAACAGGAUUAGAUACCCGUGUAGUC
rnacentral:rRNA from 1 species